GCGGCCGCAAGUCCCGUAAGGGCGCGGGUGAGGAAAGUCCGGGCUUCGUAGGGCAGGAUACCGGAUAACGUCCGGCGGAGGUGACUCCCGGGAAAGUGCAACAGAAAACAACCGCUCUUUAUAGAGUAAGGGUGAAAAGGCGGUGUAAGAGACCACCGUGCAGAUGGUAACAUCUGUAGCAAUGUAAACCCUAUCCGAAGCAAGACCAAAAAGAAAACGAUGGGCUGGCCCGGUCCGUUUUCAGGUGGGUCGCUCGAGGCUGUUGGUAACAGCAGUCCUAGAUAGAUGAUCAUUCUCGACAUAACCCGGCUUAUAGGCCUGCUCAU
rnacentral:RNase_P_RNA from 1 species